GUGGAAAUGGCUUGUCCCGAUUCAACCCGAGGUGGGGGUCGGAGGAGGGGUGGUUAGCGACGGAGCUUGCGCAGCGUCCGGGAGCCGCAGUCAAAGGGCGUGGCCAAGGGUUCCUUGGAGACUAGGUCCCCAGGGCUUUAAAAAAUGACACAAUUCUUUUACCGGGCGCUGGAAACUAGACGUCCUGCAGGCUUUACCCUUGGGAAGACACUGGAGUGUCAUAAUCUGAGAAACGACAUACCCCGGCUUAGGUGUUAGGAGAGUCAUUCAGCCUGGUGUGUGAAAAAAACCCACAACAGGAUUCUGGGUUAAUUUUGAAUGUGGAACAAACAGGAUUUGCUGAUGGAUUGGGUAUGAAAUUUGGGAGAGAGAGUCUUAUCCUGUCAAUGGUAAGUACAAGAAUGUUCACAUAAUGCACAGUCCUGUUGACUCUACCUGUGAAAUAAAGUCUGAAUCUAGCCACUCCGCUCAUUUUUUCCACCCCCGUAACCAUCCAAGCCACCAGACAUCUGGCUGUCACCAGGAUGCUGUCCACACAAGAAAAAGUCUUUAAGCGACUAUGUCAAGCUAAAUAAAUAAAGGAAAUCAAGGACUUCCACUCACAGCCAGUAGAAAGGAUGCCAAAUCUGUCAAGAUAAGAAAAAUAAGGAUAAUGUGAAGUUUAAAGUCCAACACAGCAGAUACCUUUUUACCUUGGUCAUCACGGACAAAGGCUGAGAUACUGAAGCAGUCCCUGCCCCCAGGUUUGGCGGUGAAAGAACUGAGAUGGGACAGAUAUGCUGAUCUGAACUGUAUUAAAAUGUUAAAAUUUCAAAAAAAUUAAAAUGUGAAAAUGAA